UGAGAGCUCCUUUGAGAACAAGAGUACGCC
rnacentral:piRNA from 1 species